rnacentral:lncRNA from 1 species
UACGAAUGAAAUUUACUCAAUAUUCCAUUACUUUUUAUAUUCAAAUUUGACAAUGGCCAAUUCUUGAACACCCACAAAUGGGAGAAACAUGAAUUCGUUGAUCACACUCCAUGACCGGCAUUAAGAUUAGUACAAAUUCAUUGAGGGAUGAUAAUGGUGCCGAUUUCCAACAUAUGUAAGAAAUGUUGAGUUGUUUAUUGGCUCACAUUAAGGCUCACUUGCACUAAUGAUGGAAUUGUUUUCAAAACCGAAUUUUUAUAGCCUAUUUCUCCCACCACCACUCUGCAAAUCAAUUAAAAAAGAAACUAAUUAUAUAUAUGAAGAAUAUAAAUACAUUACGGACUAUAUUAGGGAUCAUAUAGAGCAGGACAAGAAUAUAUGAUAUAUAUCUGAACAUGAGACAACUAUUUCAACAAGGCAGUUAAGGUAAAAUAGUAAAUUCAUCCAUAAUGCUAAUAAAAGAGGUAGAUCGAAAUAUUAGUAGCGCAUGAACUUUUUUAAGUGAAAUGAAGAUAACGACAAAUGAUUUGAGCUAAGAAAGAAAGAGAGCAGAGAAUUGAUUUGAGCUAAGAUUUGACAAUAGUUGAUAGUAUAGGAAACAUUAAACAUUGUGUAAGCUUUAAACAUAAAACAUAAAUCCGUGUUAAUAAAAAGAUGCACGGGAAGAUAACGUUAAUUAUUCGAUUAUUUUAGUCUUAGAUUCAACAAACAUUUAAAGAUCACAAAGGACUUGUUUAGUCUUAGACGGGACAACAUACUUGCGAUUACAGAACACAUACAUAAUAACUUAAUCCUAGUAGCAAACUGAGAAGUCCUAUGAAAGAAAGAAACAUAAAACUAGUAUGUUAUGAAAACUUGAAAAGUAACUAAAAACAGUAAAUUUGCACUUAAUGCCAAAUUUCAAGAUAAAUAUAUAUGCCAACCAUCAGCUCGAAUAAAAAGAAUCCAUUCAAUGACAUCUUUAGCAUAUUGACGCAAAACACUAUGAAGCAUGGUUUCUUAACAUGGAUUGAGCAUGUCAUGGUAAUAUCUUAUAGGAUAAAGCUUAUGUUAGAGAUGAAACCAUAUAGUUUUAUCCUCCUUGCUCUGAAACAUCUAAGUUUUUGAUAUUAGCAUCUUUGAAGUCAAAGCUUAAUUAAGUUAAGCCCAAACAAAGUCAGCCAAUGAGAUAUGCCAACCACAUAACAAUCAAAAUUUGAAUCUGCCUAGAUACUAAAUUAGAACUAUCUCCUUUUACAAUCAUAUAUAACUUAAUAGUCCAUCAAAUGUUAGCAAAAGAUGAAACCACCAGCUCGAGAAAAAGGAGUCAUCAAAGACUCAAACAUAAACCAUGGGUAGCUCAGCAAAAACCCCAUCGUGGGAGAGUUGAUGGAAAAGCAAAAGAGAAAACCCCAUGAUAUUAAACUGAUGUAGAAGAAAUUAAAUAAAAAAACCCAAUGCAUCAUAAACAAAUAAACAACAAAUAAAACCACAGAAUUUUCACAAAUGCAACAAUAUCUUCUCUUUGAUUCAUGAAAUAAAAUAUUUAUAUUAAUGCAAAAAGCAUACAAUUUGAUAAAAGAGUAUCCAACAAACUAAGAAUCGGCAGAUUAGAUCUAUAAACCAAAACACUUUUUUUUUUCAAGAUCUGGUGUAUAUAGUUCUGAUAAAAAAUCACUUCUGCUUUUGGACUAUCUGUGAGCAAAUCAAUCUUGUUAUUAGCAUUUUUUUUUUAUGGCUUUGUGGGGUAGAACUGCAGAAUAAGGCUUUCUAGCAGUGUCUUUUAGUCUUCUUUGCCACUUUGCAAAUGGCGAAGUUUAAAAGGAUAUGCCGAUAAAUACUUCAAGUAAAGACCACAAUGGAAGUUGGGAAGUGUUUGGGGAUCAAGUAAGGCAUGUGGAAGAAGGGUAAGUUUUUUCAUUCUACUACAAAUAGAAUGGAAUCUCAACGCUCUUCUCGGAAAGACAAAUACUUGAAAACGGUGAAAAACUUUCCUUGAGCUUGCCAAUUUCUCAAUUUUUAUGUUUCCAACCCCCAAAGAACAUAUGUAACAAAAUCGAUCUACUGACGUGCAAGUUUUGGCGGGUUUGAGAAUCAAGGGUGGAAGAAAAUAUAUCACAUAAAUUGGGACGAUGUAAUCAAGCAUAAUAUCACUUGGCAAAGUAAUAAUAGAUGGAGAACAUCAAGCUUAGGAAUGGCGACAAAUUCAGAACUAGUUUGCAAUGAACUGCCCAAAUCGGAGGUGCAGAGAUGGUAGGAAUCAAAGUUGUUCUUUGAAGGAGCCGCAAAAUAUUAAUGGAAGAUUUCUAUGUGAAAUCAACACACUUCCAUGAACUGAGUAAUCAUAAUGAUGGGAAUAUUAAUUCACCCAAUUCGAGUAUCCCCAAGAAAGUAUGGAGGUUCCUAUGGGCAGUUAAACUACUUUGAAAAAUUGUCAUGUUUCUAUGAAAGAUUCUAGACAAUGCAUUGCCAUGCAAAGUUCAAGUUCAAAAGAGGAUUAGAUCCAAUCAUCAUGCGAAUGUUUAGAUUCUUAGAAAUAAAGUCCUGUUUGAUGAAGGCAGCAAUGGAGCUCAUAAACCAGAACAAGAAAGCACACAUUAACUAGGAAAUUCCUAAGAUGCAGGAAAAACUCCAAACCUGACCAAAGUUGUAAUUAGAAGCACAUAUUUAAUAGCUUGUUUUUUUUUUCUUUGUGGGGUAGAACUGCAGAGUAUGAGUAUAGAUUUCAGGUUCAUCCAUGGGGGUUUUAGCAUUCAUUUCUUAAUAUUUUAAACUUUUUCUCGGGGUGGGGGGUUACAUAAUACUUUUAC